ACGUGCCUGCUUCCCCUUUGCCUUCUGCCAUGAUUGUCCGUUUCCUGAGGCCUCCCCAGGGGGCCACGCUUCCUGUACAGCCCCCAGAACUGUGAGUCAAUCAAAUCUCUUUUCUUCAUAACUUACCCAGUUUCAGGUAGUUCUUUAUUGCAGUGUGAAAAAAGAGGAAGGGAGGCUUCUGGUUGAAGGAAUGCAGCCAUUCUGCUUGUUUGAAUAUUUCCUUUAUAUGAACCUCUAUUUACCGGGAGGCGUUUCUCCAAGUGCAAUGGGAGGUAUUGGUGACCGCACAUACUCCUCAGUGUUCUGCUAGUAAAUAGUUUAUGGUUGAUCAGUGAUCUCCUGCUUUUUCAGUCUGGCCUGGACUGAAAAGGUAACUGGUGAUGGUAUCAGUAAGCACCAGGAGGUAUGGAAAUCCUCCAGGAGCCGCAGGCAUCACAUUGAAUUCCAUUUACCAGUAUUCCCUGGCACAGUUCUUCUGAAUUGUACUGCCUUGGCCAAAAGAGAUAUGGGAGAGGCUGGACACAGUCACUCAUGCCUGUAAUCCCAGCACUUUGAGAGGCCAAGCCAGGUGGAUCAUUUGAGGUCAUGAGUUCAAGACCAGCCUGGCCAACAUGGUGACACCCAUCUUUAC